rnacentral:lncRNA from 1 species
GAAGAUUCCAAGAAAAGUGUGGACUCAAAGCCAUCUGAUUGAGCGGCUUGUGAAGAGGGCUUUGCAAAGCAUUCCACCAACCCACACUGGAUGCAGAAGUGCAAAAAACUCCUUGUUCGGUAUGACUGAACUUCUACAUGUUGCAUCCUCUAAUUCUCGGUCCUCAAAUAUGAAGAUGACAUAUGGGGUUCAGGAACAUAUUGGUUGCUGCUGGGACAGAUGCUGCUAAGCCACCCAGGACCAGAUGAGGAAACUUCUUUUCAUUCUCCCAGGAUUGGAGCUUAAGAACCUAGUUGGGACCUAAGGAAGAUGUUUACAAAGACAUCUACAGAAAUGUCUAUGGCCGUUAGGCUGUCUUCACAUAGAUAAGAGGUUGUUGGAGAGAGGACAAGAGAGAGCACACGCUAUUGGAGGGGGUUGAAGAAGACCCCACAUGCAUGGAAAUUCUGAAAGAAUGACUGAAAAAGAAAAGAAUUGAAAUAAUCAAAGGGGACCCUCCAGUAAAAUACACCUUUCAUGUUAA